CGCCUCCUGCAACUAUUAAGUAUAGGAGGUCCAGCCUGCCCAGUGACUACGGGUUCAACGGCCGCGGUAUCUUGACCGUGCAAAGGUAGCGCAAUCACUUGUCUCUUAAAUAGAGACCUGUAUGAAUGGCUAGACGAGGGCUUAACUGUCUCCCCCUUCCAGUCAGUGAAAUUGAUCUAUCCGUGCAGAAGCGGGUAUAAAUCUACAAGACGAGAAGACCCUUUGGAGCUUAAGGUACAAAACUCAACCACGUUAAACAACUCUAUAAAAAAUAAGAACUUAGUGGCCUGUGAGAUUUUACCUUCGGUUGGGGCGACCACGGAGGAAAAACGAGCCUCCGAGUGGACUGGGCCGAAUCCCUAGAUCCAAARGAGACAUCUUUAGGCCACAGAAUAUCUGACCAAUAAUGAUCCGGCUCAAAUGCCGAUCAGCGAACCAAGUUACCCUAGGGAUAACAGCGCAAUCCUCUCCCAGAGCCCGUAUCGACGAGGGGGUUUACGACCUCGAUGUUGGAUCAGGACAUCCUAAUGGUGCAGCCGCUAUUAAGGGUUCGUUUGUUCAACGAUUAAAGUCCU
rnacentral:rRNA from 1 species